rnacentral:rRNA from 2 species
UGAGGAAUAUUGGACAAUGGGUGGAAGCCUGAUCCAGCCAUCCCGCGUGAAGGACGACGGCCCUAUGGGUUGUAAACUUCUUUUGUACAGGGAUAAACCUCCCCUCGUGAGGGGAGCUGAAGGUACUGUACGAAUAAGCACCGGCUAACUCCGUGCCAGCAGCCGCGGUAAUACGGAGGGUGCAAGCGUUAUCCGGAUUUAUUGGGUUUAAAGGGUCCGUAGGCGGGCCCGUAAGUCAGUGGUGAAAUCUCGCAGCUUAACUGCGAAACUGCCAUUGAUACUGCGGGUCUUGAGUGAAUUUGAAGUGGCUGGAAUAAGUAGUGUAGCGGUGAAAUGCAUAGAUAUUACUUAGAACACCGAUUGCGAAGGCAGGUCACUAAGAUUCAACUGACGCUGAGGGACGAAAGCGUGGGGAGCGAACA